rnacentral:rRNA from 1 species
AGCGAACGCUGGCGGCAGGCCUAACACAUGCAAGUCGAACGACACCUUCGGGGCUAGUGGCGCACGGGUGAGUAACGCGUGGGAACGUGCCGUUAGGUUCGGAAUAACUCUCCGAAAGGGGUGCUAAUACCGGAUAACGUCUUCGGAUCAAAGAUUCAUCGCCUUUGUAAGGGCCCGCGUUGGAUUAACAGGUUGGUAGGGUAAAAGCCUACCAAGGAGACGCUCCAUAGCUGGUCUGAGGGGAAGAACAGCCACACUGGGAAUGAGACACGGCCCAGACUCCUACGGGAGGCAGCAGUGGGGAAUCUUGCCCAAUGGGCGAAAGCCUGAAGCAGCUAUGCCGCGUGAGUGAUUAAGUUCUUAGGGUUGUAAAGCUCUUUCACCCGGGACGAUAAUGACGGUACCCGGAGAAUAAGCUCCGGCUAACUUCGUG